ensembl:lncRNA
AUGAACACAGGAACCUGUGACAGAGGCUCUGAGUGGUUCUCUGGCAUCCAGGAGGGCUGCUUCACAGAGGACCCUUGCUUGCCUGAGUCUCUAUUAGCCAGGUUUCUCUGCAUAAAGUCCAGACUUGGUGUGUUUCCUCUUGCUCUGAAUAAUGCCAGGCUGCACCGUGAUGUCAAAGACCCAGACCUAGAAGCUAAAACUGUGGCUUCUCAUGCCGGCCCUGCCAAGCUGGAUCACCCUGGGCACAUGAAGGGGAACAAGAUGAUCUCUCAGGCCACUUCCAGUCAUCCAUCCACCCAUCUUUGUAUCCAAUGUAUUUCUCUGCAAAGUUUUAUUCCACACUUACCUAUGCUAAGCACAAUAUUAAAGGCUGGAGAAACAAAAGAAAAUAUUCAUGUUCCUUCCUCACCUUCUAGAAAUUUAACAACUAGAUGAGGUGCAGAUAUGUCAAAAGAAAACUGUGAUAUAAUCUGAUCAGUAUAACCCACAAUCAAUUGCUAAGGUGUCACCUGGAGCUCUGGAGUCAAAAUGCAUUCAAAUCCCAGGCACCCACUUACUGGCCUCUGAGGCCUUAUUCAAGUUACUUAAUUUCUCUGAGCCUCAACAUUCCUUACCUGUAAAACUUUGGUGACCACACUACAUGCCUUAUGACUUGUGGGGAUUUGGAUGACAUAAUCCAGGUAAGGAGUUUAUCCCAGUUCCAAAAAAUAAAUUGUAAUUACUUGUCUUGUUUUAUUAUUGUUACUAUUCUUAAAAAAUUUUUUUUCUUAAUUUUUGUGGGUACAUGGUAGGUAUAUAUAUUUAUGAGGAACAUAAGCUGUUUUGGGGCUUUUUGUUUAUUCUUUAACUUUUUAUUUUUGUGAGUACAUAGUACAUAUGUAUAUAUACAUACACACACACACACACACACACACAUACACACACACACCCCUACACACAUAUCUAUCUGAGGUACAUGAGAUAUUUUGAUAUAGGAAUAUACAAUAUACAUAAUAAUCACAUCAGGGUAAAUGAGGUAUCCAUCACCUCAAGCAUUUAUCCUGUAUAUUACAAACAAUCCAAUUAUACUCUUUUAGUUAUUUUUAGGUAUACAAUUAAAUUAUUACUGAAUAUGGUUGCCCUGUGGUUCAAUCAAAUACUCAAUACUAGAUAUUAUUUUUUCUAUUCUUUGUAUCCAUUAAACAUCCCCACUUCCUUCCCACUACCCGUCCCAGCCUCUGGUAAUCAUUAUUCUACUGCCUUUUUCCAUUAGAUCAAUUGUUUUCAUCUUUAACUCUCACAAAUAAGUGAGACCAUGUGAAGCGGUUAUUUAUUUCCUGGCUUAUUUUACUUAACAUAAUGAUUUCUAGUUCCAUCCAUGUUGUUGCAAACGACCGAACUGCAUUAUUUUUAAUGGUUGAAUAGUACUCCAUUAUGUAUAUGUACCAUGCCUUCUUUAUCCAUUCCUAUGCUGAUGGAUAUUUAAUUGGCUUCCAAAUCUUGGCUAUUGUGAAUAGCGAUACAAUAAACAUGAAAUGCAGAUAUCCCUUCGGUACACUGAUUUCCUUUCUGUUGGGUAGAUACCCAACAGUGAAACUGUUAGAUCAUAUGGAAGCUCUAUUUUCAGUUUUUUAAGGAAACUACAAACUGUUCUCCAUAGUCUUUAUUGUACUAAUUACAUUCCUGAUAGCACUGUACGAGGGUUCCUUUUCUCCACAUCCUCACCAGCAUUUAUUAUUGCCUGUCUUUCGGAUAAAAGCUCUUUUAACUGGAGCAAGACAAUAUCUCAUUGUAGUUUUGAUUUGCAUUUCUGUGAUGAUAAAUGAUGUUGAUUACCUUUUCACAUACCUGUUUGCCAUUUUAUAGCUUCUUUUGAGAAAUGUCUCAUCAGGUAUUUUGCUCGUUUUUUAAUUGGAUUAUUACAUUUUUUCCUAUAGAGUUGUUUGUGCUCCUUAUAUAUUCUGGUUUUUUAUCUUUUGUCAGAGAGAUAGUUUGCAAACAUGUUUUCCCACUCUGCCGAUUGUCUCUUCACUUCAUUGUUUCCUUUGCUUUGCAGAAGUUUCAGUUUGUAAUCCCAUUUGCCGAGUUUUGCUUUGGCCACUUGUACUUGUGGGCUAUUAUUCAAGUAAUUUUUGCCAAGUCCAGUGUUCUGGAGAGUUUCCCCAGUGUUUUCUCUUAGUGGUUUUAUGGUUUAAUGUGUUAGAUUUAAGUAUUUAAUCCAUUUUGAUGUGAUUUAAUUUAAUUUUUUUAUAAAAAAUCAAAGUGUGAGAUAAGGGUUUAAUGUCAUUCGUCUGCAUAAAGAUAUCCAGUUUUCCCAUAACCAUUUAUUGAAGGGACUGUCCUUUCUCCAAUGUAUGUUCUUGGCACCUUUGUUGGAAAUGGGUUUACUUAAGAUGUUUGGAGUUGUUUCUAGGUUCUCUAUUCGAUUCCACUGGUCUCUGUGUCUGUUUUUAUCCCCAUGCUCUUUGGGUUAUUAUAGCUCUGUAGUAUAAUUUUAUUAGUACUAUUCUUAUUCUUACUAUUAACUAGUAGUAACAAUAGAAGAAGAAAUAGGAAUUCCUCUGAAGUAGCUUAGAAAAAGCAGCCCCUGAAUGUGCCUGAAAACAUCAAAGGGCUUAACAGAGGAGGUGAAUUCACAGGCGUUAAGGAGUUUUACAGGCAGUCAGGGCAGAAGAAAACAACACAAGAAGACAGAAGACCUGAGUCAUACGUGAUUUGUAUCAUUUAUGUUAUAACAGACACUGCAACUAAAGAGUAGAGGGUUUUUUGUUUGGCGUUUAUUUGUUGCCUAAGAUCACCCAGACAGUUAGUCACAGACAUAGAAGAACUAGCAAUUCCUUCUAUGUCACUGGAGCAUAAAGUGAGAACAAACCUGGUGAGGGAUAAAGUGCACAGACAGUGGCAGGCAAGCUCUUAAGGGAUCUCGCUGUUCACAAUAAAGAUUUAGGUCUGCAGAUAUUUUGGAAACACUGCAUCUUCAGCAACAGAGUCUGUUAUUCUGGAUUUGGGACCUCUUUGCCCUCCUAGACUCACCUGCUAUGAUGUCAUUGUGAAUGUCUAGUAGUCAACUGCUUUUGAGGCCAAAGCACGUGAUUACAGCAGUUGCCAAAAGGCGAGAAAUGUUUCUCAUGCUAGGGUUGUGAGGGCCCGGCUCUAAGGCUUUUUCCUAAGUGAACUUACACAUUUUUAAAACUUAGGAAAUAAAACUGGAAUCAGGGUUCAGUCAGAAAAGCAGAACCCAAAGAUAUGUGCAUGAUAAUUAGAUAGACAGAUAAUAGAUAGACAAAUAGACAGAUAAAUAGACAGGCAGAUGGACGAAUUUACUGUAAACAUUUGACAUUAUGUUCUGGUAAUGCUGUUCUUUUGGCAUCUAAUUUAGAAGCCUGAGUUUGACAGAGCAGGCAGUUCCUUCAGGAAGAGAACAUAUUUGUAAAGUGGGCCAUAGCAAGGACAUGCAGGACCCCUACAGAGUGAACUAACAGAUCUUGAUGUUGUGAGUGUCCAGAGGAGAGCUGGACAUCCUCCCUUGGGGAGUAGGGGCAGGGCACACCUAGCCCAGGGCUUGGAGAAGCUGAUGGAGACAGCAGGAGGAGGUGGAGCAGUCCCAGUGCUGCACCUCUGUUCCAUGCCAUUAAGGUGAGCCAGCAGGUAAGUGAUUACCUGUGUGACCUGCUGCUUCAUUUCCAUCCUCCAACAGGUUUACCAUCAGUUCCUGUUUGCCUGAGACUGACCAGGUUUCAGAACUGAUAGUCCAUGUCCAGGGACCUCCUUUAGUCUG